rnacentral:misc_RNA from 1 species
GAUGAAGAACGUAGCGAAAUGCGAUAAGUAAUGUGAAUUGCAGAAUUCAGUGAAUCAUCGAAUCUUUGAACGCACAUUGCGCCCGCCAGUAUUCUGGCGGGCAUGCCUGUUCGAGCGUCAUUACAACCCUCAGGCCCCCGGGCCUGGCGUUGGGGAUCGGCGGAGCCCCCCGUGGGCACACGCCGUCCCCCAAAUGCAGUGGCGGUCCCGCCGCAGCUUCCAUCGCGUAGUAGCUAACACCUCGCGACUGGAGAGCGGCGCGGCCACGCCGUAAAACACCCAACUCUUCUGAAGUUGACCUCGAAUCAGGUAGGGAUACCCGCUGAACUUAAGCAUAUCAAUAAGCGGAGGA